ACUUAAAUUGAAGAGUUUGAUCAUGGCUCAGAUUGAACGCUGGCGGCAGGCCUAACACAUGCAAGUCGAGCGGUAGCACAGAGAGCUUGCUCUCGGGUGACGAGCGGCGGACGGGUGAGUAAUGUCUGGGAAACUGCCUGAUGGAGGGGGAUAACUACUGGAAACGGUAGCUAAUACCGCAUAAUGUCGCAAGACCAAAGUGGGGGACCUUCGGGCCUCAUGCCAUCAGAUGUGCCCAGAUGGGAUUAGCUAGUAGGUGGGGUAACGGCUCACCU
rnacentral:rRNA from 1 species